GCCCAGGUGGCGGAACUGGUAGACGCGCAAGGUUGAGGGCCUUGUGAGAAAUUCUUCUCGUGGAGGUUCGAGUCCUCUCCUGGGCACCA
rnacentral:tRNA from 1 species